ACCUGUCAACGAGUCAGAGUCAUGGCGUUUUAUUAUUGAGGUGGCAGAGCAUGGAUUUUAAUUCAUCGUCUUUAAUGUGCCCGUUUGAUGGCGUUUAAUUAAUAUAAGGUAUUCUUUACGGCAGCUGCGUUGCUGCAGACUCCUCGAAGCCGGCUUGGGUGCUUUUGAAGUGCAGACACCGUGUCUCUAUAUGGUAUCGGAAGUGAUAUCGCAUGUGCCUCGUCGUCGGCGGCGGUGAAGAUGCCGGAGUCUUUCGCUGACUUCGUGGUAAAAACAUGACCAACCUGACAUUCCGACACGAUGGACGUUCAGGUGAUUCAAGGAUUCCUUGCACAUGGGGACCAGGCUGCACAUGCCAGGGCAUUACAGUACUUCGAGCAGCUGAAAAGCGCUCCAAAUGGCUGGCAGCUUUCCAUGCAGAUGCUCUUGCAGCCUUCCGUUCAGGAUGACUCAGUGAAGUUUUUCUGCUUGAGUGUCCUGGAACACUACAUAAAGACAGGGUAUGAGGCAGCUAAGGAGGGUGACCAACAAUCCAUGCGGACCUUUAUUAGCCAGUGGAUACAGAUGCAGGUAUACGCCCCGCUUCCAGAGAAGGUGUUCAUCCGCAACAAAGUGGCACAGCUAGUGUGCUGGGUGUUCCUCUGGGACUACCCAGCACGCUGGCCCAGCUUUUUUACCGACAUGCUCCAAACAUUGUCAUUGGGACCGCCUGCUGUGGAUGCUUAUCUGCGUGUUGUCCUCGCCAUCAAUAGUGAAAUCGCCGACUGUGAGAUACCGCGCACUGCCAAGGAACAAGACCGAAACAGAUUGCUGAAGGACAACAUCCGAGAAACACACAUUGUGGACAUGGUGAACUCCUGGUACACCAUCCUGACGACCCAGUGCCAAAGCCCUGCUGGUGUGGAGUUGUGUCGGCUGUGUCUGGAAGUGGUGGGCGCGUACGUGGCCUGGAUCGACAUUGGCCUGGUGGCCAACGACCGCUUUGUGGACGCACUGGUUCACUUUCUGUCCCUGCCAGCACUGCGAGAAUCGGCGUGCGACUGUGUGUGUGAGAUCCUGGCCAAGGGCAUGGACCCGGCCGACAAGGCGCGCCUCGUCGAGUCCCUCUCUAUGGUCCUCCAGAGGGCUGGUGUGCUCGCAGUAGCUGAGGGAGAAGAUGUGGACUUUCUCAUCAAGUUGGCAAAGCUUGUAAAUUCGAUGGGGAUCCAGCUGUUCGACUCGUAUUCAAAGUUGCAGAAGAAAGGCGAUGCUUCCAACCGGCAGCUGGUGCAGUCGGAGCUGGCCUCCAAGGUGCCCCUGAUGCUUCGGUUCCUGGGACACGAAGAUGACGACGUGUCCCAAGGGGUGGCUGAGUUUGCACGCGAAUACAUUCAAUACCUCAAGCAUGAGCCAGGGAACUACAAGCAGCCAGACAAGGCCAACAUUGAGGCGGUGUUGUACAUAGUAAUUAACAAAUACAAGUAUGACAGUUCUUAUUUAUUUGAACGUCAGGGUGAAGAUGAAGCCUUAUUUUUAGAAUACAGGAAAACACUAAAGGUGCUCUUCGACAAUGUUGCUCAGCUGGAUAAAGACAUGACCUUGUCCUUGACACAAGGCAUGAUAAGCACAACACUGCAGAAUUGGAGGAGCCUUCCAUUUCAAGAUGUGGAAGUUGCCAUCUCGUUCCUGUAUCUCCUUGGAGAGGCCAUUCCUGGAUUCCACAGUGCUCAGGUUAAUGCGGCUCCUGAUGCUCUUCCACCAGUUGUAGUCAUCAUGCGGCAGCUCAUCUCGAGUGGUGUAAGCACCUGUGGCCAUCCUGCAGUGACGUUGCAGUUCUUUGAGACCAUUGUACGAUACGAGAAGUUCUUCAGCCAGGAGCCAGAAAGCAUUCCAGACGUUCUUGUUGCCUUCAUGGAUGAAAGGGGCCUGCGCCACCCAAGUCCCAGCGUGCGCAGCCGGGUGUCCUACCUUUUUUCGAAGUUCAUCAAGUCGCACAAGGCGCACAUGUUGAACUUCACCGAGGACAUUCUGAAGCAGCUGCAGGAAUUGCUGGUGCUGUGCCCCACCGAGAAUGGGGUCACCAUGUCUUCACUCUUGUCACCCGAUGAUCAGCUGUACCUGUUUGAGGCGACUUCCAUGCUCAUAGUGUCGGGCCAGUUCAACGCUGAUAAGAAGCAGCUGCUCUUGAAGAACCAGCUGACUCCUGUGAUGCGCAAGUUCGAGACUCUGGCCCAGCGGUUGCCUCUUGAGCCUGCAGAGGAGAAGCGGCGGGACAUUGCAGAGUGCAUGAAUCAUGCCAUUGCAGUGACCAGUCGGACGAGCAAGGCAUUCUCAAAUCAGCAAACUAUGAAAGCUUGCAACUGUGUUUCCAUUUACCUGGAAGCACUUCAGGUGUUCCUACAGGCCUUGGAUCUUCCGUACGAGCAGCCAUUGCUCCAGGCUGGUGUGCGGCAGUUCCUUCACCGCAUGGUUGUGUGCCUCGAAGAGGAAGUGCUGCCACUUGUGCCUCGUGCCUGUGAGCAGCUUCUGCGCAACCCCGACGUACGCUCGGUGCAGGAGCUCAUACCACUCAUCAACCAGAUCGUCUGCAAGUUCAAGCUGUCUUGGGUGUUCCAGAAAGAGGUGGUGCCCUUCCUGCAACGGAUGUUCAUGCCACUGGUCGGGGUCAUCUUCGGUGCCUUGGCCGCGCCUGUGGAGCCCGGCGAUGAGCAGGCGCUGCGCGACCGGCAACUGCUGCAACGCGCUUACUUCCUCUUCGUGGCUGCCAUCAUCACCAACAACGUAGUUGAGGUGGUUGCUUCGCAAGAUGCACAAAGCCUGGAACAAGUCUUCACGACAAUCAUCCAGGGUGCUGUCGAAUUCCCUGACCCAGUGGCUCAGAAGACUUGCUUCACGAUCCUGCGGAAAAUGGUGGAGCUAUGGGGCGGACCAGAUGCUGAGCCCCACUUUGUAGACUUCGUGUACAAGUCGGUUGUGCCAGCCUGCUUCCAUGCCCCUCUCAAAGACACCUUUGACCUGACCGAUGCUCAGACGAUCCUGGCCUUAUCUGAAAGUGCUCUUUGCAUGAAGAUGAUCCUUGCCAAGCGGGGUGAGGAGUUCGUGGAGUAUUUGCGCACCCAGUACCUUCCCACCCUGCUGAGGCUGUCGCCACAGCAGAUCCAAGACUACUGCAUGCACCUGCAGGGUGAUCCCAAGGUGUUUAAGAACUACGUUAAGGUAUUCUUCCAAAGGCUGAGGACAUCUUGACAGCAGGGGAGGGCCUUCUUCCUCUUAGCAAAAUGACAAAUGACGAAAUUUAUUCUGCAGAUUGUGUACAGCAAUUAUCAAGGCCUAAAUAUGCAGGCUGAUAUCAAUUGGUGCAGCUUACGUGUUCCUGUUUGGCCAAUACCACAUUUUGCACAGCAGUGCAAGCGUAAACUUUUUUUGCCAAUGCCGUGGACUUCUUCUCCUGACUCGAUCAAUGGUCAUUGAAUGUUGUAACAGUUUACCAAGGUCAGUUUCUUGUCUCCGAAACACCACAACUACUUCAAAUUAGCUGACUUUAGGUCAACAUAAUACUAGUAACUCGCAGCUCAAAGUAGGUGUUAUGUCUAAUAAAACUGAACAGGCCUCGACAAGUGUGACUGCAGUUUUCUAUAACCAACAUGUGUGACAGCUGCUUUUCGAUCAUUGAA